rnacentral:lncRNA from 1 species
UUUGGAACCAGAUGCUCCGCAGGGCGUAGCUUUAUACGACCGCAGAGGUUGAACCCUGAACUGUUGGGGCAAGUAUGGACACAACAUUCAAGCUGGAUUCAGCUCUAAAUUUGGAUUGUGAUUAAAUAGUUGACACAGCAUAGGUUUCUGACACAGAAUGAAUGUGUUCUAAUGAACUUAAAAUUUUUUGUUUUCUCUUAGAGCAAUUCACUAUGCGGUUGAAUAUUAAUCCUCUCAAAAAAAUGUUUGAAGAAAUUUU